UCACCCCCAGAUCGACCUUCACUCAGAGCUGCCAGACAGCUGUUCAAAAGGCGAGGGUGGAGCCCCGCCCGGCCCGGCCGCCCGAGGCUGCACGGGGGCUGCAGCAGGAGGGCACCGAGGCGCCCGGCACGCAGGUUUGGAAAAUACUCUUUUAUGCGUUCCAGGCACCUCAGUGCUGGCUGAGAGAUAAUGAUAAUGCAAAAAGCUUAAAAAAAACAACAAAAAAGGAACAUCCUUCUCAGAUCCCAGAGAGCAAAUCCUAGCAAACUUGCGCCGGGCCUUCCGUCACAUCGAAUCAAAAUGGUUUGCUUGAGCUGCCCCCGCGGCAGUUCACUCCUGGCCUCUUCCGCGGGUGUGGACGUGCUGAGAGCAUCCUGACUCCCGGAGAAGCUAGCUGCCCUGCUGCGGCUCUGUUCUUCCCGACGCCGUCCAGGGGGCAACGUCUGCCAGGAGCCCUUUGGGGAGGCUCCGGGGGAAAGCGCCCUUCGCGUGGAACAAUUUGGGUAAAAGGGCUCAAAUGAACGGGAAUGGAAAAGCGUAAGAAUGUGACAAACUGGGGCGCGCCCUUCGCAGACGGGGAGAAACACGCAGCGGCACGUCUGUCGAAUGUGGGCACCGGGGCUCUCGAGGGAGCGAGGUCGCGGGAACACAGCGCUUCUUGUUCGCAGGUUGGAUCUGAGGAUCCCGGACCUAGACUGGGAGGCCUUUUACAUGCGGCUGUGGUUUCCGUCCUGCCUUGCCAUGAAAAGGCCAUUUUUGCCGAGCUGUGUAAGUCUGUGUGUGCGGUGGGUAUGCGUGGCUCACAGAUGCCAGGCCUGAAUAGGUGGGUUUUAAUUCGCUCCAGCUGUGCGGGCCGGGCCUCUCCCCCACUGCGGACGGUGAAUAAAGUGAUGGGGCGGCAGGUGGGGGGGUGACAUCCCUUUGAAGCAGCUGCAAGCCAUUGAGUCACAUAAACUGAAACGAGAAGAGGGGGAAAACUCCAAGCCUGCGAUUCAGCCUGCUUCCACAGCUGUGUUCACACAGCUCGGAGAGACAGCGCCCAAACAAAGCCGCCCCUGGGCCCCGGCCGCUGCCAGGAGGGAGAAAGGCAGGCACUGUAAGCCCAGGUAUUUGGUGAACUGGAGGCUGGCUGGGGGGAUGUGGGCGCCAGCAGCACCGCCAGCUGGCGGGCGCUCUCAGCGGCCGCGACCGCACCACUGCGUCCUGGUGCAUCGUCAGGCCUGGAAUCCAGCUUCCCUGGACGCCCCUGUGGCCGGGGAGGGGGUCUCGUCACCGAGGGGCCCAGCCCCCAAGGCCGGGCAGGAGGGGACUCCCCCAGACAGCCUACUGGGCAGCCUGCCCGCCCAAAGGAUUGCCAAGGGCAGGUUCUCCCGUGAGCUGAGAGGCGGCCAGACAGAGAGUGGGAGAGGGCGGGGCCCGGAACGUCCAGGGAAAGUGACAACCGAGGACUCCCAGACCAGCCUGCAGCGGAGGGGCGAGCACCCGUGCACGCGGCCUGGACAAGCCCCCGCCUGCCCCUCCCCUUUCCACAUCCCAAGUCUGGUCAACUCCAGCAUCCCUACGGGACCGCGGGGAGGCCUGGUGCUGAGCGCAUUGGUCCACACUCCUGGCCACACGCUCCCCUUCUGUCCACGGAAUGUUGGCCUGCGGGCUCACUCCAGGGGUGGUGAGGCCCAGUCAUGCAGGGUGGGGCUUUGAAGGAUGUUGAGGAGUUUGCAGCGGGAGAAGCAUUCCCCAGCAUGACAUGUGAAAGUACCAGUGAUUAAGCAUCAGGCUUCUUCUAGAAAUAAUAAGACCCUCCAUGGCUGGAGAGCACAGUGUCUGAAGCGGGGUGAGAAUGAAGCAGAAACUCAGCCUGGGACCCCGGCCUCUUCCCUGGGUGCCCUCAUCUGUGUGUGCACAGCUGGGCCACAUGUGAGCCUGGUCUCUGGAGACUUCGAGAACGGCCUCGGGGCAGCAGCGUGGGGCAGUCUUCCCAGGUCUGGUGGGGCUGCUGGCGUCUGGUUGUGGGGUCGUAAGGUGGGCACAGCUCUGGCUGAGGGUCCUGGCUGCACCUUGCCCAGCUGGGCAUCCCUGGGGCAUCCUUGGUGAUUCUGUUUUCAAUCUCUUUCUGCCUAAAGUCAUUAAAGUGAUUUUGCUUCC